rnacentral:rRNA from 1 species
GACGGAGGGUGCAAGCGUUGUUCGGAAUUACUGGGCGUAAAGGGCGCGUAGGCGGUCUGUUAAGUUCGGUGUGAAAGCCCCCGGCUCACCUGGGGAACUGCGCCGGAAACCGACAGACUCGAGUACCGGAGAGGAGGGUGGAAUUCCUGGUGUAGCGGUGAAAUGCGUAGAUAUCAGGAGGAACACCAGUGGCGAAGGCGGCUCACUGGCCCGGUACUGACGCUGAGGCACGAAAGCGUGGGGAGCAAACAGG